rnacentral:rRNA from 1 species
CAAUAGCGUAUAUUAAAGUUGUUGCAGUUAAAACGCUCGUAGUUGAGCAUCUGCCCUUUUCCGGUUAGGUCCGCUCUGCGUGCACCUUCCGAAAUCGGCAUCCGUCUGCGUUGCUUCGCAUUGCAGACCGUUCACUUUGAGGAAAUUAGAGUGUUCAAAGCAGGCUUACGCCUUGAAUACUUCAGCAUGGAAUGAUUGAUAGGACUUCUAUCCUAUCUUGGUUCUAGGGACAGAAGUAAUGGUAAACAGGGUUGGUUGGGGGCAUUCGUACUGAACAGUCAGAGGUGAAAUUCUUAGAUUUGUUCAAGACGAACAACUGCGAAAGCAUUUGCCAAGGACGACCCCAUUAA